rnacentral:lncRNA from 1 species
GACGCUUCUCGAGACCCUUGUGACGGCGAGGAUUUCUGGGCCAGGCACGGCGACCCUUCGCCGGAGCUCGCAGGGGCGCAGCAGCCUUGGUACCGGAUCGGAUCUCGCGAGGUACAGAUAUCUCGCCUCGUCUCAUCGACCCGCCGUCGAUUUCAGAUUGAACAAGGUGCUUCUUGCUGCAGCCCACUCAAUCAAUAUCGUGGCUGAUUAAUUUAAUUUAAUUUAAUUUCUGCAGAUGUUUUUAGACGUGGCGGAACAGAGAGGAGAGGGCACUUCUCUUCUUCUUCAGAUGUGCGGCUCAGCCAAAAUUUGUGUCGGGUCAGGUACCGAAACAACUCAUGCUAAUUAACUACUGUAUUUUGUUACUGAAAUGGUGAUGGGGAAUACUAGCAAUCUCGGAACACGGUCCAAAAACACAAGCACAUAAGCUGCUAUGACAAAUGGGUCAACAUUCCAUCAGAUUGAUACCAAUGUCUCUGAUCAGAGAACAAAACGAGGCACUGCAGUUAAAAAUAAUAUAUUUUUUCAGAGAAAAUGGGCCUAGCCCCGGCUCCAUUGCAUUAACAAUGAAACCCAGCAGAACACGGUCAUGUAUCAAUCAAGUAUUACAAAGCUUAACAGCUUAGAAAACUAAAGAGCAACAUGCCCGCCGGGGGAAACUCCCCUCGACGCUAGUUAAAAUAAAAUCAAUCUGCGUUUGUUUGUAUGUUGAAAUAUUAUUAUUAAGUGAAGUAGAAUAACGCCUAGCCAGCAUAACUCGGACAAAAUUGUCAUCGUUGGCUAUCAGAAAGUUGUUACAGGGUUGGAGCGCUUUUUUUUUUCUAUCUUAGGGUGAGGAAUGCAGGGAGGAAGAUGUCAGGAAUCCGAGGGCAUCUGCACUGCUGUGCAGGUGGCGACGAUAGGCAGAGGUUUGUGGUGUCAGUUUCAGGGGAAGCGAAUCGGGAUAGAUUGGUGACAUGAGAUGCAUUCUGCAUGAUGACACUGACCUUAAUUCGAGAGGAUUACUGCAUCUCCCUUCUAAUGAUAGUAGCAAUUAACGCUAAGAAUUGAGCAAUUAUUACAGUUUAUGUAUAAGUAUCGCAAUGAGCUAACGACGUUACAUAAGCAUGACAACACACAAGUUAUGAUAGCUAAUAAGGUUUAAGUAUGAGCAUAUAUCAGAUGACUUAUUACAACACAAACUUAUAGCUCCCUCCGUUAAUAGUAACAUAACUGUAAUGUUGGCAUAGUAAUGGUUGUUACUGUUUGAUGGCCUUUGUCUAAGUCCGUAGGGCUAUUUGUUUUCAGUGAUCUACAUAACGGUUUAUCCAGCGACUUAUCCAUCUGAAAGGGUGACGCAUGGCAAGCCGCGCCCUGAAUCUAGGGAGUUAAGCUAUUCCACAGAAACUGCUGGUGGACAACCGACUCUUAUAAAUGUAGUAACAGUUGCUGCUGAAGGUAGAAUAUAAACUCACUCUAGCAGAAGACUGUAAUGCUAGACCAUAUUUUGUCAACGUAAGAUAGUGCCUUUUGAUAACUUCUAGCCUGAUUUUCCUCAGUUUGCUUAAUAGACUGAAAAUAAGGGGACUAGGCAAGUUCAUCAAUAACCAAUUCUUGAGGUUUAGCUUCUUGAAAUAAAAUUACCAGAUUUUCUGGACGAGGACAAGAGCCAAAAACAAAAAAAGAACAUUAAAAUAAACUAGAGAUCAGAGUAUCUAACUCCUUGGCAUACAUAUAUAGCACACUGAAGAAAUGGCAUUUGUACUGGGCUACUGGCUAACAUUAUUACUACAGAAACAUAUUUACUGUUUACUAAUGCGUCCCAGCCACAGUAGUAAUCCACGCAUGACACAACUGCAGUAGUGAUAUAGGUGGAACCGUGGAAGUAGAUUACUAUGGUAAUAUAUGUCUGGUUCACUCUAACAGUGUACAAACAAACAAUCAUCAAGAUGAACAACACACAGAAAGAAGGAACAAAUCUCACACAUCCAGUGGUCUGGCCUGGCUGUAUUUUGGCUUGGUGUCUCAAGUUGUAAACCACCUUCCUGCUGGCUGCACAUUCCUUCACAGCUUCACCGCAUUGUGAAGCCUAAAGCUCUUCUGAUGUAAUCCCAUCAGUGAGUGUCUUCUUCUGAACCUAGCAGAUGGGUCACAAAAAACAUAAGCAGAGUUAGUAGCAGAUCGUCAGUUAUUGAGGCAAUGUUUACACAACACCAAAAUAAUUAUUGAGGAGUUAGUAGCAGAUCGUCAGUUAUAUUGAGGAAAAAACCAAAAGAAUUAUAAUCUUUAGCCUUCACGUGGUGGCUCGGCUCCCUUGCACAAAACUCCAAUGCUAGCUUUUGCUUUGCCUUGUCCUUGCCUUCCAAUGGAUGCGUAUCAUCAAUGGAUUUUUUCCUUUUGAUUUGGACCUGACUGCCUCUGUCCUGUACGGCGACCCGACCCUUGCUGCUACCUAGUAGCGCACCUGUAGGUUUCCCAGUCGAACACGAGGACUUAGUUCUGGACUCGGUCCAGUUUUGUUUUCCAAACAAAUCUCCGGCUUGCUCUUUGCUUCAGCUUGCACACGUAGCUCUAGCGCACGACUCAGCGCUGGUCAUCCGGGCCCCUUGGCAGCAGCUCAAUCGCCUGGGCCGCAGCCUCCGCUGCCGCUGGCCUGCCAGCCGUCGUUUGCCUGCACACACGCUGCUGCCCAGAGGAUCCUCGUUAUCCGCUAGCACGCUUUUCCGCUGUACGCUCGCCCGAUUUAUCUUCUGAUUCAUCGCCCGCACGUCCAGCUUUAUGUGCGCACACGACCAUACUAUCCGCCGCUACGUGCAGUCCAAUCUCGACGAGAUGGCGAACUCGCCGCGAUACGGCGCUUCCGAUUGCGAACUCGCCAGCUUCUCUUGCGUUCCUGUACUAUUAUAUUGGCAUAUGUUACAUCGUGUGUCUAGUCCCGCUAUAUAUGAGAGGCCUAGGAUACAAGUGUCCUACUAGGACAUGACUCCAUAUCCUAUUUAAACACAAUACAACUACAAGUCCAACUGUAACCUACCUUGUACACUAUAUUCGACACAACUCCAACAGAUACAAGCGGGCAAACUCAACCAUACGAACUAACCAGUAGAGCAUGGACUUACAACAGUUAUUGAACAAGUCAAAGGAGCUGCACAAGCAAUAGGACCAUCUCCCCGAGAAAUUUGAGGGUGCAGUCUGGUCGGCAUAACAUAUGGUAGAUAACAGAAAUCCACGCAUGCAUCGGAACCACCGAAACAAGGUGGAGAUGCUCUGCGUCCACUGCAGUAGCCGGGACGAUCCGCUCCGGAUGAUUCCUGUAAUCGUCAGACGGCUCCUGUUGAAGCAACCAGUGCUGGUCUGCACGGCGCCAUAGAGAAUGUCGCCACUGACGAUCUUUUGCUUAGCAUCAUCGAAGAUGUCUUCCACUUGCUCCUGGGCGUGCCUCAGCAUGGCGGCCAUCUUGUCCAGUGUGGCUACAUCAGGUUUCAGUUUUUCUGAUCUCUUUAUCAUCCUCUCUUGAUCUACUGCCUGCAUCGUGUGCUGCAGUUCCGGGAUGAUGCAGGUCUCCAGUUCCAGGAGUUUCUUGGAUGCGUCGAAGACCAGAAAGGAAAGGAUCUUGGACAAGAGAAAGGCGAUGAUGGGCAACAUCAACCAGCCCAGCACAAUGGCCCAGCCAGCUGCGGCAACAUCCCAACUAGUGGCCAUGGAAUGCUGCUUCGAAAUGAUGACUGAGCGGAUGAUGAGCUAGACCAACCAUUCCAACACGCUUAUGGCCAGAAGCACGAAGACAAACAUGAAGAUGAUGCUCAUCAGUAACCCACCUAUCACCGUCAUGGGCUUCAAGAACCAGACCGGCACCUCCUGAACAAUCAUCGUCCCACUUAGCUCCUCCCUUGGUCGGUUUCUGGGUCCACCACUGUGUGUCACCAUUUCUCUACCUUCGCCACCAUAAUAAAUUGAACCCAUGGAUUGCAGCAUUUGAUUUCUUGGAUUGCUUUUACCAGCGACUUCAUUGUUCUCAUCUUGAAUUCCAUCAGUUUCAUCCAUGAUUUCACCUCCCCCCGAAACCUUACCUUGAGCUCUGUAAUAUUCCUGGGCUUCAUGUGUCACCACGUGUCCUGUACCUUCGUCGCCAACAUAAAUCGAGCCCAUCCAUUGCACUUUAGGAUUUCUUGGAUCGUUCAUAAUUGCUUUCUGGCAGGCAGACUCUGCGCCAACGCUCACACAACCAAUUAUUGCAGAUAUCUCUUUAAUGCAUGACAAGUGCUCAAUAAUGAUCCCUUGUUUAUCCACUGUCGUAGCAUUGAAACCUAGCCUGAGCUUUUGGAGAUUAGGCAUUACAUUCUCUUCAAAUUUCAGCCAAGGCACAGUGCACGUGAACUUGAAGUAUAUGAGAACUGAGAACCCUCCCUUGCCAAAGACAAUCAUUUCUGCAGACGUUGUCAUGACAUGCAACGACAGAACAGUUAGGGCAGGUAGUCCUUUCAGGAUAUCAGUAUCUUCGUUCGAUAGCUCCUUAACUGCAAUCUUAAGAAUGCAGAGUCGCGCAAGUUCACCAAGCCAUUUUGGGAGUCUGGAGAAUAUGCAGCAGCAACGUGACAACUCGAGUCUCCGAAGAUGCGCUGGGGCAGGGGACGCGCUGCUGAAGCCAUCAAAUGAAAUGAUCAUGCUUGAAGCACCAGUAUCAUUAUCAGCCUGUAAAGUAUUUACAUUGGAGGAGCCUGUAGCAGGUACAAGAGUUACAGACUGCAGGAUGCUAAGUUUGUUAAGGACUGAGCUCAGGAGUUGCAUAUUCUUUUCAAGGCAUUCAGCUGGCGGUAGUGUAGAACAGGUGAGCUGAAGAUUCUUCAGAUUUGUCAGCUUCUUAAGAUCCAUCAAAUUGAUCUUUGGGUUACUGUUGAGAUCAAAAUAACCCAGAGUACGAAGAGAUGUCAUAUGGCCAACCCCGUGAGGCAAAAUAGACUCGCUCCGAAGGCGGAGGUGCAGCAACUUAUCCAGAUGAAUAAUAUCAGAUGGAACAACCGCUAAUCUUGCAUCUACCUGCAGAGUACCCAAGUGCCGCAGCCUUCGAAUCUUGCCUGGAAGCUUGACGGUGAUAUUACACUCAAUCUUCAGAUAUCUCAGUCGAUAUAGUUCACCAAUUGAAGUGAGGUCAAAAGUCUUGUCUUGAUCAGACCAAAUAUGAAGAAUCAAAACUUGAAGAAGCCCAUAUUCUACAAUGGAGGGUACACCUUUGAAGAAUCCAGAAAAUAGUAGUGAUCUAACUUGGGAUGUUCUCAUAUUGUCUGGUAUAGUAUUUGCACCUUUUGCACCUCCCAACUGGACAGACAGUCUACGGACCUUGUCAGGAAGUCCUAGAAUUGUUUGAAAAUAAUUCACAACAGUGACAAAGUUUUCCUCCAUGGAUUUUUGUCUGAUAAGAUCCAGUACGAUGUGGUGAAGCGUACAUGACAACACCUCACCAUUAUGAUCGGUAUCUAUGGAUUGGACCAGUCCACUACUGACGAGAGCAUCAAAAUAACAUCCCGCGGUGUUCUCUCUGUCUUGUCCGUGUACUGAGCCGAUAAAAUCUUCAGCAACCCAUUGCUUCACCAAUUCAUCCUUCCUGGUCGUGUACCCUUCUGGAUACAUAUUCAUAUAUAACAAGCAUGCCUUCAAAUGGGGUGGAAGAUUAUUGUACACAAGGUUUAGAGCUUCUUUCAACCCUUUGGAACUAGGAUAUGUAGUACAACCACCCUCGGAUUUUCCUGAUUGAUCAUCAUUGAGAGGAGUAAUCUUGUAUAUAUGCUUUAACUGGUAACUGCAGCAUGCCAGUGCUACAUCCUCAACCUGUGUUGUGGCUAUUAUUCUGCAAUAAUCACCAUCAGGGAGAGCUCGGAUAAUAAUACCCAGACUGACGUGGACCAUAGAUCAUCUAUUAUAAUCAAGUACCUGCAGAUUUUUUUGGCCAAACGAAAUAUAUUACUACUAUAUUACACAAAAGACAAGAGAUAAACACAACAAGAUACAUGAGGCAGGACAAAAUUACACAGAAAAUAUGUAUCACAUACAAAGAAUUGGCUGAAAAAGCUCCUAUUUUUGCCCCUCUAGUUGAUAGACCUGAUUUUCAAUUGGUAUCACAGUAAGGUAUCCCCUUUGCUUAUAAUUUUACUGUUUUACUCUUUUUAUGUAUAAACGCUUCAUUUUGGCCUUUAUUUGGGGCUUUAUCCAGACAGCCCCAAAGAUAGGGUAGCGCAGAAUUAUGUUAGUUGCCAUUAGCUUCAUUUUAUGAAUAGCACAGCACGUUUUGCUUAAUUAAUUGAUAGGAAAUACCUUUUUCCUUGCAGAUGUUUGGUGAUACUUUCAAUAAGUCCUUGGACAUCAG